rnacentral:rRNA from 1 species
UACGUAGGGUGCGAGCGUUAAUCGGAAUUACUGGGCGUAAAGCGUGCGCAGGCGGUUCGUUAAGUCAGAUGUGAAAGCCCCGGGCUCAACCUGGGAACUGCAUUUGAAACUGGCGGGCUUGAGUGCGGCAGAGGAGUGUGGAAUUCCUGGUGUAGCGGUGAAAUGCGCAGAUAUCAGGAGGAACACCAAUGGCGAAGGCAGCACUCUGGGACGUGACUGACGCUGAGACGCGAAAGCGUGGGGAGCAAACAGG